AUACGCGUAUUCGUUGAAUAGUGCUUCUAUUUGUAUUCGAACCGCGUUCCUGAAUCCUUCCAUUCGAGGUCCAAGCUGCGCCUCAUAGUUUGCAAACUGUUUACUUACGUAUUGGCUAUACACUAAGAGUAUAUGACACCUGGAAGUACGUGUGAUAUAUUUGAUAUUCGUGACUCUACAUUACUUCGCGGUCCUUAAGAAGGUGUGGCUAAUAUCAGUGAUCGACUUACUGAUCGAUUGUGUUUUUGUAAAAUUUGCACCUGCAGUGUUGUUUGUUAUGGAGAAACUUGAAGGAUGGCUUCAUUGAGAGAAAAUAUGAAUAUCGAGUGGUUCAGAAAGUUUUAAAAUCGGAAAAAUACGAGAAUAAUAUAUGAAUUUUGAUACGUUUGGAGAGCUCAUUAAGUACUUGCCUAUCAACUUACUUGACACGAUGAUUUGUGAUCGUAUGGCUAUUAAGCAACUUUUUGUCCUCGACUUUUGGUUUUAACGAGGAAAAAGAUUUAACAUUUAGGUUUAAACAGAUUUGAUAAUUCUCGAAAACAGUGACAAACAUUCAGGCCAUAAAUUUCUAACUGAAUUUAACUUUACAACUGAACAGUGACUAAGACCAAACACAAUCAGUUAAACUGAAUGAACUUUAGGAAACUCGAUGCAGGAGAUCAUGGCGAAUUAAGGAACGGAGAAAAGGAGGAGGAGAAAGUAAUCAGAGUGGAAUCUUGGUUUCUAUGUUUGCUACGAAAAGUUGAAGCCCCUUCGAAUGAUUGAAUUAAUUAGAGGCUUUUGUAAGAUCGGAUACUUUUAGCUAGAUUUUCUUCCUUAGACACGUGGAAUUGUAGAAAUUGCUGACCGCAAGUUUUUAAGCUUUAUAAAAAUAUGAUAUCAGUAGAAUUUUAAUACUCAAUCGUGCAUGUUUGGUGCCACAGAGGUAUUUUUUCUUUUUUGCUUUAUUUAACUGCUGAGGAAAUGACCUCGUAUGCACAAAAUGGUAUUUUGAUAAAUUGCCUGCAGCUGAACGAGACAUGAAGCCUCUAAAGCCAUUUUUCCCCUUAAUACAUUGAACGUCACAUCCUUCAGAAAUAGGUGACACUUACUUUCGUCCAAAGAUAAAUGAGCCGUAAGGUGCAUCGAUCACAAAAAAUUCGUAAUGACCCGAAUUUUGUUGACCGAGCGCCAUUUUAAUAUCUGUGAACAUGGAAAAGUGGGGCAAUCGCAUGGAAAAAUCUUUAAAAAGUAAUGAAAUUGUUCAUAAUUCUAUAGUUUGACAUUAUUGUUAACUAUUGAUUUAUACGCGCAAAAUAUGAUUUCAUCAAAAAAUUGAUUAGUUUGCGAUACUUCAUCAUACAAGACGUGUUCAACUUCCUCGCUAUAAAAUUGUCAGAUUAAUUAAUUAAUAAAUUUUCAUUCAAAUACAAUCUACAAAAUAUCUCAGUACAAUUAUUACACGUACAAAAAUUCUACUAACCUUCUCUACAUUUUUGGCUUAACUGACAAAAAGAGCAGCCAUGCCCGUCGUUGCCCCAAUCCCGAAUCCAUUGCGCGAGAAAUAAAAAGGCGAGCAGGCAAUGAUCUCGUAAAUAAGCGCGGAGACAUUGCUACUUUCUCGAAUCGACUACACGCAAUAAAUUGCCAGCAACAAUGGCCGAACGAGUUGCAAGGGGACACAUAAAUUGGUAUCAAGCUCUCAGCGCUUAAUUCAACGCAACAUUCGUACGGGCCUUCCAAUCCCACGCGAUGUUCACCCGGAGCACACGAUGUCCUUGAGACAGCGAUAUUGCGUCGAGUCGCCGUUCCAGACGACAUUUAACGAUAACGAAACGCGAGCAAAAGGUGUGCACACACAGUGUCCACCCGUGCCUCCUCUAAAUCGUUGGAACAGAUUAUCAAGGAGACGGUUAAUUGGUCAAAACUAUAUGAAGAUUACAGGUGAAAGAUAUGAUAAUUGAAAGUUUGUUGAUUUUUUGGUUUUAAUGUUACUUAAUAGUUAAAAGCAUAUUUUUACACCUUCUGUGCGCAAGUUGCAUCGUUUAUGUCCGCGUCCAAUUGUUUUACUAUUCUAGGUUCUCAAAAAAUCUGAAACUCUAACAUACUAACUGCCUCUACUAUAUCGCACAAACGAUUUUUGAGUCAAGCGUUUAAAUGAUAUUUCAAGGAAAAUAAAAAUUUAGUUUGAAGAAAUAUAUGGGUGAAAUUUCACUGAGUGCGUAAAUGGUCCAGGUUUCUAUGAAUCGUGGGCUAUAGCAAGUUAAUAAAUUACUAUUAAUUUUAUCUUAUAUUUCGCAAGUCUCCCAAUACUUAUGGACGGAGGUGUACACGCGAGGAAAAACGGCGAAUAGAAUAAUGAUUUUAUAAGUUGUUGUCUUGCAACGUUUCGGGGACAUAGUGAGAGUUCAUUGUUUACGUGGAGCAUAAGUAUAGAAGACCGCAUUGAACGAUCUGGCUUCUUCACUCGAGAGCGCGUACAAUUAGGGUCGUAUUACAUGCGUACUGGUCUUGUCGUUUUGCUUACCCGUUAUCGAGCACCAUUGACACCGUUCUCCAGGAGGGAGGAUUAGCGAUGUAAAUUUUCCACGAGGCCAGACAAAAUUAUCGAGGCGCGAUAUCGUUGUUUGGAUGAAAUGAUAAAUGAGGACGAUAUAAUCGACACGACUUUGAGAACAACCAGCAUUACCAGAUCGUGAAACAUUUGUUGUGUCGAUGUUUAAUUAUUUGGUUCGUGUAGUGAAUAUCUUAA